CAAACCAAAGCUGGCGACCGGCGCACGGGUGAGUAACACGUAUCCAACCUGCCUCAUACUCGGGGAUAGCCUUUCGAAAGAAAGAUUAAUAUCCGAUAGCAUAUAUUUCCCGCAUGGGUUUUAUAUUAAAGAAAUUCGGUAUGAGAUGGGGAUGCGUUCCAUUAGUUUGUUGGGGGGUAACGGCCCACCAAGACUACGAUGGAUAGGGGUCCUGAGAGGAAGGUCCCCCACAUUGGAACUGAGACACGGUCCAA
rnacentral:rRNA from 1 species